rnacentral:rRNA from 1 species
CCUACGGGAGGCAGCAGUGGGGAAUAUUGGGCAAUGGGCGCAAGCCUGACCCAGCAACGCCGCGUGAAGGAAGAAGGCUUUCGGGUUGUAAACUUCUUUUCUCAGGGACGAAGAAAGUGACGGUACCUGAGGAAUAAGCCACGGCUAACUACGUGCCAGCAGCCGCGGUAAUACGGAGGAGGCGAGUGUUAUCCGGAUUUAUUGGGUUUAAAGGGGGCGUAGGCGGUCCGUUAAGUAAGCGGUAAAAUUGCGGGGCUCAACCUCGUCGAGCCGUUGAAACCGGCAGACUUGAGUUGGCGAGAAGCACGCGGAAUGCGCGGUGUAGCGGUGAAAUGCAUAGAUAUCGGGAAGAACUCCGAUUGCGAAGGCAGCGUACCGGAGCCAGACUGACGCUGAGGCGCGAAAGCGUGGGUAGCAAACAGGAUUAGAUACCCGUGUAGUC